AUUGAACGCUGGCGGCAGGCCUAACACAUGCAAGUCGAACGAGUGGCGGACGGGUGAGUAAUGUCUGGGAAACUGCCUUAUGGAGGGGGAUAACUACUGGAAACUGUAGCUAAUACCGCAUACCAUCAGAUGUGCCCAGAUGGGAUUAGCUAGUUGGUGGGGUAAAGGCUCACCAAGGCGACGAUCCCUAGCUGGUCUGAGAGGAUGACCAGCCACACUGGAACUGAGACACGGUCCAGACUCCUACGGGAGGCAGCAGUGGGGAAUAUUGCACAAUGGGCGCAAGCCUGAUGCAGCCAUGCCGCGUGUAUGAAGAAGGCCGUCGGGUUGUAAAGUACUUUCGGCGGGGAGGCGUUACCCGCAGAAGAAGCACCGGCUAACUCCGUGCCAGCAGCCGCGGUAAUUC
rnacentral:rRNA from 1 species